rnacentral:lncRNA from 1 species
ACCGAUAGACUGGGCUGGGGCAACGCUGAUGAAAGGCAAAUUCCUGAGAGAAAAAUCACCCAGAUUUUUCAGUGCCUUCUCUAGCUUUCUAGAAGUUGUUAUGAGUGGACCUGACUACCUAGAGAGAGUAAUACAGAAGCUCCGUGCCGAUCACAGCUACCUCAUUACCAUGUUCCUCCAAGAUGGCCGCCCCUGAGGAGAAUCAUCAACUGGGCUUUACGGAAGAGAGAAAUCCAAACGACCAUCAGCAACAAAUGAAAGACUGAAGUUGAAAGUUUCAAGAUUGUCAAGAAUGACGAGUUGGACUUGGUCUAGUUACUUCCACAGCAGCAGGAGGAACAUGUGUGUGACUCAGGAUAACUGGGGAAGCCUUGGCUAGGCUUUCCUCAUGUCAACCUACCACUCAAAGGGAGAAAACCUCCUGAUCAGAGGAAAUCCAUAAUUUUUGAAUGCUGGCCGAGGUCUGUGACCUCUGACUGAAUGGUUUCCAAGCUCCGAAUUCCUAGGUGAUGUUUUCAUUUGUUCACACUUGCUGAAGAAGGGAAAGGCUCUCUGAUUUACGUGUAAGCAAAACAAUCUAAACAGUAGGAUAAAAUCAUGUUGGAAUGGAGUUCUGUGUGGAUGCUCCUUUGAACCAAAUCAGUUCCACAACUGACCCUGUCAGGGACAUAUAAAUUUAGCAUUUUGGUGUGGAUACAGAAGACGAGAUUAACACAGAUCAAGUAACAUGGAAAUAAAAAAGGAGACAAUGCUGGAUGAUACAGGGGCAGCCAACAAGAGGAGAAAACCCAAGCAUUGGCAAAUGCCUCAUUAUCCAAAGAACACUGAGGUGUGGAGCAAAACUGUGUUGAAUGAACUGUAGAUGGAAAUUCUCUCCUUCCCACCGAGGAGCCGCUGCAGGUUGCAGACUCCCAGAAUGCCACACUGAGAAGAGGAGGGCUAAAAUUCUAGAGCAGAAUCCCUGGGGCAGCCCCUGCUGAAGAAGGGUGCAUCUGUUGAGAAUCUCAUCACCGCCCCCACCCCGCCCAGCCUUCAAUUUAGAGGAAUUUCUAGUUCACGCAGAAUGAAGACAAGAUCACAUAAGUGAGGACGACGCCCCAUUUACAAGUGUGAUUUGGAAGACUGAAGUGGAAACCUUGGGAAGGUGGGCCUCAGAGUAUGUCAGCUGGGGUCAGACGGGAACAGGAGUCUGGCUCAACACACAUUUAUUGCACUCCUGUUUCAUGCCAAGAAAUGUACCAAAAUCUGGGACUGUGUAACACAGCAAAGGAAAAGACUCAUCUCCAGGAAGCCCCCUUGUCUAGGAAGAGAAAUUGAAUAUCAGCAUAAGGUGGUGAAAAGCUGUGAAGGAGAUGAGUGCCAGGAGUCCAUGGAGGAAGGAUUCUAGCCUGGACAGAGUCUCCAUGAAUUGCAAGGGAAAACAAGUGGUACACUGGUAUUUCUAUUUGAUAACCUGUUCUCUUUGGAAUUCCGGUUAGAAAUCAAAGGCUUACUUGAGUUUUAAUGCUUUCGGGACUUCAAAUGCUUUUCUAUCUUCCUAAUAAUAUAUUAACAUUUUCUGAAGACAACAUAUAUGUGGAAAACAACAUUAUUUACUCAAAUAAUUUUUUUUGAAAAAUGGACCAAAAAAAAAGAAAAACCAACAAAAA